rnacentral:rRNA from 1 species
ACGGGUGAGUAAUAUAUCGGAACGUGCCCUAGAGUGGGGGAUAACUAGUCGAAAGACUAGCUAAUACCGCAUACGAUCUACGGAUGAAAGUGGGGGAUCGCAAGACCUCAUGCUCCUGGAGCGGCCGAUAUCUGAUUAGCUAGUUGGUGGGGUAAAAGCCUACCAAGGCAACGAUCAGUAGCUGGUCUGAGAGGACGACCAGCCACACUGGGACUGAGACACGGCCCAGACUCCUACGGGAGGCAGCAGUGGGGAAUUUUGGACAAUGGGGGCAACCCUGAUCCAGCAAUGCCGCGUGAGUGAAGAAGGCCUUCGGGUUGUAAAGCUCUUUUGUCAGGGAAGAAACGGUAGUAGCGAAUAACUAUUACUAAUGACGGUACCUGAAGAAUAAGCACCGGCUAACUACGUGCCAGCAGCCGCGGUAAUACGUAGGGUGCAAGCGUUAAUCGGAAUUACUGGGCGUAAAGCGUGCGCAGGCGGUUGUGUAAGUCAGAUGUGAAAUCCCCGGGCUCAACCUGGGAAUUGCAUUUGAGACUGCACGGCUAGAGUGUGUCAGAGGGGGGUAGAAUUCCACGUGUAGCA